rnacentral:rRNA from 1 species
GAUGAACGCUAGCGGCAGGCUUAAUACAUGCAAGUCGAGGGACAGCACAGGUAGCAAUACUGGGUGGUAACCGGCAAACGGGUGCGGAACACGUACACAACCUUCCUUUAAGUGGGGGAUAGCCCAGAGAAAUUUGGAUUAAUACCCCGUAAUAUAGUUGAAUGGCAUCAUUUGAUUAUUAUAGCUACGGCGCUUAAUGAUGGGUGUGCGGCUGAUUAGAUAGUUGGCGGGGUAACGGCCCACCAAGUCUACGAUCAGUAGCUGAUGUGAGAGCAUGAGAAGCAACACGGGCACUGAGAAACGGGCCAGACUCCUACGGGAGGCAGCAGUAAGGAAUAUUGGUCAAUGGACGCAAGUCUGAACCAGCCAUGCCGCGUGAAGGAUUAAGGUCCUCUGGAUUGUAAACUUCUUUUAUUUGGGACGAAAAAGGGCCUUUCUAGGUCAACUGACGGUACCAGAUGAAUAAGCACCGGCUAACUCUGUGCCAGCCGCCGCCGUAACAC